GGGGUCCUAUGGGGUCCGAUGGGGUCCUAUGGGGUCCCUUAUGGGGUCUUAUGGGGUUUCUAUGGGGUGUUAUGCGGUCCUAUGGGGUUUUGUGGGGUCUUAUGGGGUGUUAUGGGGUCCUAUGGGGUCCUAUGGGGUGUUACGGGGUCCUAUUGGGUCCUAUGGGGUCCUAUGGGUCCCUAUGUGGUUCUAUGGGGCUCUAUGGGUCUCUAUGGGGUCUUAUGGGUCUCAAUGGGGUGUUAUGGGGUCUCUAUGGGUCUCUAUGGGGUUGUAGGGGGUCUUAGGGGUCCCUAUGGGGUCCCUAUGGGGUCUUUAUGGGAUCUCUGUGGGUCUUUAUGGGUCUCUAUGGGGUCUUGUUGUGUCCUAUGGGUCCCUAUGGGUCUGUAUGGGGUUUUAUGGGGUCUCUAUGGGUCUCUAUGGAGUGUUAUGGGGUUCCUAUGGGGUCUCUAUGGUGUCCUGUGGGUUUCUAUGGGGUGUUAUGGGGUCUCUAUCGGGUUUUAUAGGGUCUCUAUGGGUCCCUUUGGGUCUCUGUGGGCCCUUAUGGGGUUGUAUGGGACUCUAUGGGGUCCUAUGGGUCUCUAUGGGUCUCUAUGGGGUCGUAGGGGGUCUUAGGGGUCUCUAUGGGGUCUCUAUGGGGUCCUAUGGGUCUCUAUGGGGUUUAAUGGGGUCUCUAUGGGUCUCUAUGGGGUCCUUUGGGGUCCUUUGGGGUCCUAUGGGUCUCUAUGGGUUUCUAUGGGUUCCUAUGGGGUCUCAAUGGGUCUCUAUGGGUCUCUAUGGGGUCUUGUUGUGUGCUAUGGGUCCCUAUUGGUCUCAAUGCGGUGUUAUGGGGUCUCUAUGGGUCUCUAUGGGGUCGUAGGGGUCUUGGGGUCUCUAUGGGGUCUCUAUGGGUCUCUGUGGGUCCCUAUGGGUCUCUGUGGGUCCUUAUGGGGUUGUAUGAGUCUCUAUGGGUCUCCAUGGGUCUCUAUGGAUCUCUAUGGGGUCUUGUGGGUCUCUAUGGGGUGUUAUGGGGUCUCUAUGGGUUGCUAUGGGGUUUUAUGGGGUCUCUAUUGGGUCUCUAUGGAUCUGUAUGGGUCCCUAUAGGGUCCCUAUGGGGUCCCUAUGGGGUCUUUAUGGGAUCUCUAUGGGUCUCUAUGGGGUCUUGUUGUGUCCUAUGGGUCCCUAUUGGUCUCUAUGGGGUUUUAUGGGGUCUCUAUGGGUCUCUAUGGGUCUCUAUGGGGUCCUAUGGUGUCUUAUGGGGUCCUUAUGGGGUCUCUAUGGGGUCCUAUGGGGUCCUAUGGGGUGUUAUGGGGUUUCUAUGGGGUCCUAUGGGGCUUUAUGGGAUCUCUAUGGGUCCCUAUGGGUCCCUAUGGGUCUCUAUGGGUCUCUGUGUCUCCAUGGGUCCCUAUGGGUCUCUAUGGGUCCCUAUGGACUAA
rnacentral:lncRNA from 1 species